GAUCAUGGCUCAGGAUGAACGCUAGCUACAGGCUUAACACAUGCAAGUCGAGGGGAAACGACAUCGAAAGCUUGCUUUUGAUGGGCGUCGACCGGCGCACGGGUGAGUAACGCGUAUCCAACCUGCCUACCACUUGGGGAUAACCUUGCGAAAGUAAGACUAAUACCCAAUGACAUCCCACGAAGACAUCUGAAUGGGAUUAAAGAUUUAUCGGUGAUGGAUGGGAUGCGU
rnacentral:rRNA from 1 species